ensembl:lncRNA
AUGAAUUCGCAAUUUUCAAAUUUAAAAACUACAAUGACAACAUUCAAUGAUAAUAUUUUAAGUUCAGCUCCAAAUUUCAAGUACGGAGAAAAUUGGAAAAACACACGUCAUACAAAUAAUGCGAACAUGGAAAAUGGUAUAGUCAAUAUGAAUAAAAAUUUUAAUAAAACGUAUAAUAAUAAUAAUAAUAGUAGUGGUCAUAAUAAUAAUAAUAGUAGUGGUCAUAAUAAUAAUAGUAGUGGUCAUAAUGAUAAUAGUAGUGGUAAUAAUAAUAGUAGUGGUAAUUAUAUUAAAAAUUUUAUGCAUAAUAACAACGGCUAUAGUAGCAGUAAUAAUAAUAACAAUAGUGGCAUUAAUAACAGCAAUAACAACAAUAACAAUAACAACAAUAACAAUAACAGCUGUAACAAUAACAGUUAUAACAAUAGUAAUUAUAACCAAACGAACAGUAACUUCAUAAACAUCACGUAUAGCAAUUUGAGUAACGUAAAAAAUAAAAAAUAUUCGUUAGGUAUAUAUAUUGAUAAUCCUCAACAUGCAUUUAUAUUUGAUGAAAAAGAUUUGGAACUUUUAUUUGCAUAUUAUAAUGGAGCUAAAAAUAUAAGAAUAUUACCUGACAAGGCAGCUGCACAAAUAUAUUUUAAUGAUCAAAAUAUGAUACAACAAGUUAAAAAAGAUAUAAAUGGUUUGACUAUUAAUGAUAUAGGUACUAUAAGAUGUAUUAUAUUAAAUGAAGGAAAAACGAUUGAACAGUUUUUACCUUUUUCUGCUAAUGACCCAGAGACAACAUUAAAAAAUAUUACUUCGAGUAAUCAGAAUGAUGAAACGGCUGAUAUGUUAGAAAGAUUAACAUAUUUACUUCAAGAACAAAGUAACAGAAACGAAAUGAACGACAAGCAUGUGGGUACACAAAACAGCAUGAAUAUACAUAAUAGAAACAAUAUUAACACACAAAAUAAUAAAAACAUAAACGCACAUAAUAAUAACAUGUAUAACGGCUAUAGUAAUUCUCAUACAAAUCCCUAUGCAAAUAAUUAUAAUAUUGGAAAAAAAAAAAAUGAAAAUAUAAAUAAUAUAAUAGGGAAAAAUCAAAUGAAAAACAAAAUGAUAAAUCAUUUGAAUUAUAAUAAUAUGAACACAAAAAAUAAUUUUAAUAAUAAUAAUAAUAAUAAUAAUUAUAAUAGCAAUAAUAAUAACAAUAAUAGUAACAAUAACAAUAAUAAUAAUAAUAACAAUAACAAUAAUAAUAAUAAUAAUAAUAAUAAUAAUAACAAUAAUAAUAAUAAUAAUAGUAUUAUUAUUAAUAGAAGGAGUCAUAGUAAUAACAAUAGUAAUAAAACAGAUGAAAAUGAAAACCCAUAUUCUACCAAAAGACUAAGUAGAAUAGAAUUAAUAGAUAUAUUUGGUUAUCCUUCUGAAUUUGAUGUAAUGGAUAAAAUCUUAGGUAGGGAUAAUUCUAAUAUAAUGCAUAUAAAUAAAGAAACAAAUAAUGAUGUAAUUAUAGAAAUUAAAGGAAAACAAAUUAAUGAAGCUCCAAUUGCUGAAAGAAUGCAUAUAUCUAUAUGUUCGACUAAUAUAAGUUCAUAUAAUAAAUCAAUUGAAAUAAUAAUAAAAAUAUUAAAUUCAAUUUUUGAAGCAUAUUGUGAUUUUUGUUAUGAAAAUAAUUAUCAGAUCCCUAACAACUUGUCAUAUAAAAUACAUGAAUAUACAUACAAAGCAGAUGGAAGUACACAAUAUACUGGUUUUAAUGAUAUUUGGCAUAUAAUGAAUGAAAAAUAUAAAAAGGAUUUUACUUUGGAACAAAAUACAACCAUUCAACAAAAUGAUAACAACAAUGAUGAUAAUAAUAUGAAUAACAGUGAUCAUGAUCAAAUACUAAACAACGACGAUGAUGUUAAUGAUAUUGAUGAGGAUGUUAAUGAUAAUGACGAGGAUGUUAAUAAUAAUGAGAGGGAUAUGAUGAAUAACGAAAAUGAUACAGUUAACAAUGAUAACGACGAUAAUAAUGAUAACGACGAUAAUAACGAUAACGACGAUAAUAACGAUAACGACGAUAAUAANNNNNNNNNNAUAAUAAUGAUAACGACGAUAAUAAUGAUAACGACGAUAAUAAUGAUAAUAACAAUAAUGAUAAUAACAAUAAUGAUAAUAACAAUAAUGAUAAUAACAAUAAUGAUAAUAAUGAUAUUGAUAAUAAUGAUAUUGAUUAUAUACUUGAUAGUAGUAAUAAUAACAAUAAGAACAGUAAAAGUGAUGAUGAUAAUAAUAAUUUACUUAACGAAAAUCUCAAUUCAAACAAUACAUGCGACAAUGACCUGGCGAUUGGAAAUUGUAAAGAAGAUACAUUAA